rnacentral:lncRNA from 1 species
GAAAGGUAUUUCUCAGAGAUGGGCCCAAAGCUGCUUCUGUUUCCUUGUGGCCUCAGGCUGGCUCUAGCUAGUAGGACACCAUGACCCAGAGUAACUAAAGGGAAUUAUUGGCAUCCUCCCACGAGCUCCUACCAGGCCAGUGCCAGAAACACUCAUCUACUCCCUUAUGGAAGAUCACUGAGUCAUGAGAUCUGUGGUUUGUCUGAUUCUCCACUUCCCGAAGCCAGCCAAGGCUAACCGACCUGGGAUUCUGAGAGACUGUCCAGGUGAGCUCGGGUGCUUCAGUAGCAACUGGCCUUCUGGGUGUGCCCCAGAGCAAUUCUGAGUCCAGAGAUCGUUUCUGGCACCACCCUCAGCUCUCUCAGGGUUCUGGGAACCCAGUGAUCAGAGGCUGGCUGGCUGUGAGAUGUUCUUUCUCUUACCCUGUGGUGGGCUCCACAUUGCAGUCACUUCAUGCCUGCUGCUAAAAACCUAGGCCAGGCUUAUUACCUUUCAUCCAGACCAGAACUGAAAGCAGUUUCCAUCUCCUGGGCCAAUUCCAACUAAUUGGUAGUGGCUGCCCGAGCACUGUGUAGAGAAAGAUUUUGAGUUCAGCAGCAGAGUGUGGUUGUCCAUUGGUGACGAUUGCCAGAGGCACAGAGGUUGGAGGUCUGGAGGAAGAGGACUCCCUCUUUUACUUCAUUCAGUUGUCCCCCACAUCCUCAGCAGUAGAAGUGUUUCUUGCCAUUUUAGCUUUCAGAGGCCAGUCUCAUUUUGUCCAGCAAUGACAGCAACAGCAAAACCUUCCUUUGGCCCUCAUUCACAAUACAGUGUUCUGGGAGGAGGCGGCUGACCAGCUGACUGCAGUGAUGAAGAAAGGAGUGUCCCACAGGACUCUGAUUCAGCAGGGACCUCCAGAGCUUCUGACUCAUGGGGGUGUGCUCCCAAGGGACAUAGGUGUGUCUUCAAGUGCCAAGAAUGAAUGGGAACUGGCUUCUGCACUUGGCCCUGUGAGAACAGCCUAAGCCAAGGGAGGGGAGAUUCUAAAAGAAAUGACUGUAAUUAAAGGUAGAAAAAAGUGGAUGAGUCAAAAAAAUGUAUAAAUAGUGUUUAAUAUUCAACUUAGUACUUAAUUAAAUAUUGUCUUCUAUUAUUUAUAUUCACUACAAGUA